CGCUGGCGGCGUGCUUAACACAUGCAAGUCGAGCGGUAAGGCCUUUCGGGGUACACGAGCGGCGAACGGGUGAGUAACACGUGGGUGAUCUGCCCUGCACUUCGGGAUAAGCCUGGGAAACUGGGUCUAAUACCGGAUAUGACCUCCUAUCGCAUGGUGGGUGGUGGAAAGAUUUAUCGGUGCAGGAUGGGCCCGCGGCCUAUCAGCUUGUUGGUGGGGUAAUGGCCUACCAAGGCGACGACGGGUAGCCGACCUGAGAGGGUGACCGGCCACACUGGGACUGAGACACGGCCCAGACUCCUACGGGAGGCAGCAGUGGGGAAUAUUGCACAAUGGGCGAAAGCCUGAUGCAGCGACGCCGCGUGAGGGAUGACGGCCUUCGGGUUGUAAACCUCUUUCAGCAGGGACGAAGCGCGAGUGACGGUACCUGCAGAAGAAGCACCGGCU
rnacentral:rRNA from 1 species